rnacentral:rRNA from 1 species
AGGAAGAACUAACGAGGAUUCCCUCAGUAGCUGCGAGCGAACAGGGAGAAGCCCAGCACUGAAUCCUGGGGGCUCAGCUUCCAUGGAAAUGUAGUGUUUGGGAGGGUUCAUAUACCUGAAACUGUUGCACUGCGCCCAAGUCCAUCUUGAAAGAGGCCACGGUCCCGAGAGGGUGCCAGGCCCGUGGUAGGCCAGUGCCGGUGUUGGGUGAACCUCUCCUCAGAGUCAGGUUGCUUGAGAGUGCAGCCCUAAGCGGGUGGUAAACUCCAUCUAAGGCUAAAUACAACCACGAGACCGAUAGCGAACAAGUACCGUGAGGGAAAGUUGAAAAGAACUUUGAAGAGAGAGUUCAAGAGUACGUGAAACCGCUCAGGGGUAAACGGAAAAGACCCGAAAUUUCCGAAGAGGGAGAUUCACGUCUUCUCGCGGGUUCGACGCUUUGCUUUUCGUAGACGGCCCUGCCCUCGCUCAGACUCGUCUGGCGCGUGGUGGUUGGGUCGCAGAGAGUGAGGUGGAGGUCUGCGGUGGACCGCACUUCUCCCUUAGUAGGACGUCGUGACCCGUCCGGUCAUGGUCUUACGGUGGUGGGGUGGAGCCUGCUCGUUCGUGCUUGCGCGUUUCGGGCAGACCCCCGCCUCCUGGCCAUGGUUAACUACCGGUCGGUAUCAAAGACGGUGUACAGCCGCUCUCCGAAAGAGGAAACUCUUUUCAGUGAGCGUGGGCUUUUGGGCUCUAGACAAGGUGCCGAGUAGUUAGUCAAGGCGGGCAAUCGUCCGUCUGGCUCCUCUUGGCCCUGCUGGUCUUGACGUCCUCCCACGGGCCAUUUUAUACACCCGUCGACGGCGAACCAGUUUUGGGCUCUUGUCCGACCCGUCUUGAAACACGGACCAAGGAGUUUAGCGUGUGCGCGAGUCAUUGGGUGGUAAAACCCAAAGGCGUAAUGAAAGUGAAGGAAACUUUACGUUUCUGAGGGAAGAUGAGUUGGUCAUCCGCAAGGAGCCGCUCCGCACUCCCGGGGCGUCUCUAUCUCAUUGCGAGAGGAGGCGCACCUAGAGCGUACACGCUGAUACCCGAAAGAUGGUGAACUAUGCCUGGCCAGGACGAAGCCAGGGGAAACCCUGGUGGAGGUCCGCAGCGAUUCUGACGUGCAAAUCGAUCGUCAGAGCUGGGUUUAGGGGCGAAAGACCAAUCGAACCAUCUAGUAGCUGGUUCCCUCCGAAGUUUCCCUCAGGAUAGCUUGCGCUCGGGCGAGACGAGUCUCAUCCGGUAGAGCGAAUGAUUAGAGGCCUUGGGGUCGAAACGACCUCAACCUAUUCUCAAACUCCAAAUAGAUGAGAACCCCGGCUUUCUUGAACUUUAUUGUGAUUGAAGCCGUGGGAUUCGGAUCAGAGUGCCAAGUGGGCCAAUUUUGGUAAGCAGAACUGGCGCUGUGGGAUGAACCAAACGUUGAGUUAAGGCGCCUCAAUCGACGCUCAUGUGAAACCAUGAAAGGCGUUGGUUGCUUAAGACAGCAGGACGGUGGCCAUGGAAGUCGGAAUCCGCUAAGGAGUGUGUAACAACUCACCUGCCGAAGCAACUAGCCCUGAAAAUGGAUGGCGCUGUAGCGUCGUGCCUAUACUCGACCGUCAACGGCAAAGCAAUACCCGGAAGGGCAACCUUUUGGGCUGUUAAGCCUUGACGAGUAGGAGGGCCGCGGCGACGUGCGUAGAAGGGUCUGGGCGUGAGCCUGCCUGGAGCCGUCGUCGGUGCAGAUCUUGGUGGUAGUAGCAAAUACUCCAGCGAGGCCCUGGAGGACUGAUGUGGAGAAGGGUUUCUUGUGAACAGCUGUUGCACAAGAGUCAGUCGAUCCUAAGCCCUAGGAGAAAUCCGAAGCGAUGGGUUGCCGUUAAGCAAACUCUGCUGGCACCCGUUUGGGCGAAAGGGAAUCUGGUUCCUAUUCCAGAACCUGGCAGUGGAACCGUUUCAAAUCGGGCCCUUCAAGGACUCGUCAGGGCAACCUGAGUAGACCCGGAGACGCCGUCAGGAGGUUGGGGGAGAGUUGUCUCUUCUCUAUAAGCGAUCGAGUUCCCUGGAAACUUCUAGCAAGGAGAUAGGGUUUGGAUCGCGAAGAGCACUGCAGUUACGGCAGUGUCCCAAUCUUCCUCUCGGACCUUGAAAAUCCGGGUGAGGGCCACGAGGAACCCCACGCCAGAUCGUACCCAUAUCCGCAGCAGGUCUCCAAGGUGAAAAGCCU